UUUGUUACUUCAAACCAAUCGGACUUCGGUCUGACAUCAAGUGAUAUUGAACAAUUUAGCUGAUCGCACGGUCUAAGAACCGGCGACAUAUCCUUCAAAUGUCUGCCUUAUCAACUUUCGAUGGUAGAUUAUGCGCCUACCAUGGUUGUAACGGGUAACGGAGAAUCAGGGUUUGAUUCCGGAGAGGGAGCCUGAGAAACGGCUACCACAUCCAAGGAAGGCAGCAGGCACGCAAAUUACCCACUCCCGGCACGGGGAGGUAGUGACGAAAAAUAACAAGCUGGUCUCAAUGAGUUCCAGCAUUGUAAUGGGAACAAUUUAAAUCUUUUAUCGAGGAUCUAUUGGAGGGCAAGUCUGGUGCCAGCAGCCGCGGUAAUUCCAGCUCCAAUAGCGUAUAUUAAAGUUGUUGCGGUUAAAAAGCUCGUAGUUGGAUCUAGGAUUAGGGCUACGGUCGUUCAGCUUGGACGUACUGUAUGCCCGACUCCUUUUCUCUAGUAUUCGAUUGUUGCUCUUAAAUGAGUGACUUUAGUUGCUGGAACUUUUACCUUGAAAAAAUUGAGUGCUCAAGCAGUUAUU
rnacentral:rRNA from 1 species